rnacentral:rRNA from 1 species
GACGAACGCUGGCGGCGUGCUUAACACAUGCAAGUCGAACGAAGUGGCGAACGGGUGAGUAACGCGUAAUCAACCUGCCCUUCAGAGGGGGACAACAGUUGGAAACGACUGCUAAUACCGCAUACUGAAGGAGGGGAGUGUGUCUGAUUAGCUGGGUGGAGGGGUAACGGCCCAUCAAGGCGAUGAUCAGUAGCUGGUCCGAACGGAUGAACGGCCACAUUGGGACUGAGACACGGCCCAGACUCCGACGGGAGCCAGCAGUGGGGAAGCUUCCGCAAUGGACGAAAGUCUGACGGAGCAACGCCGCGUGAGUGAUGACGGCCUUCGGGUUGGAAAGCUCUGUUUAUCGGGACGCGGUACCGGAAUAGAAAGCCACGGCUAACUACGUGCCAGCCGCCGCGGUAAUAC